ensembl:rRNA 5S_rRNA 5S ribosomal RNA
ACUUACGGCAACACCGGCCUGAGUACACCUGAUCUCGUCCGAUCUCGGAAGCUAAGCAGGGUCGGGCCUGGUUAGUACUUGGAUGGGAGACAGCCUGGCAAUACCAGGUGCUGUAAGCU